AUAACCUACCACAGAGGCUUCUUGGUUAAACAGAUUCAAAUAACAUCCGAUACACUUCAUUACAAAAAGGUACGACUGGAAACGGCUGGAAAUAAAUAAGAGCAAUUAUAUAUUUUUGUUUUACUAAUAAUGUGGGUAUUUUAAAUAAGGUUGCUAUUUUGAAUAAACACAGGUAUAAAAAA